UUUUGCUUUGCUGUUUGCCCCUCAGCCACACCACCCUGUCUUGGAAGCAGCUGGAUAUGGAUUGAAACUUUCAAAAACUGUGAGCUAAAGAAACCUUUCCUUCCUUCAUUUUGGGCAUCAGAUUGGAUCCCUGAAGGAUAGUAUCCUAGCUAUGGCUAGUACCUCCAGGCAGAGAGGAAGAUAAGAAACCCAGCGAAUACACGGGGGCCGGGAAUUUGGUUUAGUGGCUCAAGCACUUGCUUGCUUUUCAUAGGCACUGAAUUAAAGUUACUCUUAGAAGAAGUUAUAUGGAUUUGGCCCUUGAAAAAGGACGUGCGUAAAUAUGAAAAAAGAGAAAAACGCUUUCAAGAUAGAGGAAGAAUCUGAGUUACACAAUUUUAUGUUAAACUAUGUCCUCUCAAUAAGGAAGUCAUAGCCUCUUAUUUUGAGGCACAACCCAGUUGACAAUCCUAGAGCUGUUGGCUCUGCCAUCGCACUGGGAUCAACCAUUUAAAAAGAGACACGGGCAAGGAAACAGAGCUCCCACUUGGCUUCAAAGAUUACACAUCAGUACCUCAGCUGGCCCUAUUUACAUUGCUUCAAGCCAAUUGAGGAGAAAAGGAAAUAGCUUAGCCUGCUCUGUACAUGUCAGUACAUGGACUUAGGGUCAGGUUUAGCUAAAGUGGAGGUAAUGGCUCUUUAUUCAAGGAGAGCCAUUCCAGUGGUCCUCUAAAACCCUGUCAACAUUUUAAUUUUGGAAUCCAAUUCCCCAGAACUGUGCAACAAUAAAUAUUGGUUAUUUAAGGCAGCCAACUUGUACUUUUUUAGCGCAACCACAGAAAUAUUAUCCCCAUGGAAUCUAGGAUAGUAUAGCUAUUUCUUUGGCUCUGUUUGAAAUACAGUAAUUUUAUUUUUGACUAUUUUUUUUUUACAUUUUAUGUUUCUGUUGAAAAUGUUCUAUAUGAAAGAGAAGAAAUUGUGCUGAAAUUCUAUUAAUUAUAUCAUAUUUUAUUCUACUAAUAAAAAGUCUUUAAAUUCAAUAAUAGUUUUUAUAAUAGACUAUGUGGUAGACAUUUAAAUCUAUGUUUACAGAAAAUAUUUUAAAAUAUGAUCUUGAACCUCAUAAUGAGAUUUUGGUCAGUGAUGGGCUGGAUACACAAUGGUUGUCCCAAAGGAUUUUGUCACCUUUUUUGUAGUAGCUUUGCAUAUA